CACACAUGACAGCAGGGAUCAUCACUGCAGCUGUAAUUGUUGCAGCAUGCAUUCUAGUUGUUGUGAUGCUGAUGGGAUGGAGGAGGAUUAAAGAAAGAAAAACACAGAUUGAGACAAAUGUGACUCCUCCAGAAGAUGCUGAUUCCUACGCCUCCAUCAGCUUCUCCAGGAACACCAACAACAGACGGCAGGUUCUGAACAAAGACGAUGGAGUCACUUACAGCAGUGUCAAAGUGUCUUCUUCUUCUCAUGCUCACAGUGAUCCCAUCAGCCUCCAUUAAACCAACAGAUGAGUCACAGCAAAUGUUCAUCCUGCAUUCAGAUCUCAAAGAUCGUGUUUUUAUGGAAGCUGCAGGACUUUCACUUCACAACUUUUCAUUUAAACUUUCAUAGUGUAUAUAUACUUAUUACCUAAAACAAUACUUCCUGAUCUUGAAGUUGCUGCAAACCUGGAGGCAUCAAAUGUUGCAGUUCCCCAUAAGACCGCAGGAGGAAGGUUACAAAAGAGAGCAACUUCCCUUCUAUGUGAAAAAGUCCAGCUUCACUACAUAUAAACAUGUGUCCAGCCUGAUGUCAAAAACUAAUAUAAUGUAUUUUCCUUUUUUUGACAAAUGUGGGGGUAGGUGGUAUGAUGGGCCAGCUUAUUAUGGGCUUUUUCCUUCAAUGUUCUGUGGAUAAUCUUCAUUUAAUUUGACCCACCUUAACAACGACUUUCAGGAAGUAGUUAAGGUGAGUGAAGUAAACUUCAGUUAAUGUGUCUGUUGAAGAUUAUGCAGCAGAAAUGUUAAGACCAGAUUCUCUUCUGUUUACUUAAAUAACAGAGUGUAAAGAAA